ACUCCAGUGAUUGGUUCCAGUUUUUUCCGUUUCAUCUUCAGAAAAUCGAGACCAAGAAAUUUUCCUCGUUUCAGUAAGAGGAUGAGAGAGUAGCUGAAAGAGGAGAUUGGCCGUGUAUGAUAAAUUUAUUUAAGAGGUCGUAGUAAAUGGAGAUUACAAAGGCCUGUGAAGAAUAAGGAAGCAUCAAAGUGUUAUAUGAAUCAAAACUGUCUUAUAGCAGGCGACUACUAUGAUAUUGAACAGGUAUGUCAUGUAUAAACUCAUCUUAUACUUCUUUGAUAGUUUGUAGGAUGGUAAGAAUAGGUAAACCAGACAAAAUUUGGUUUAGUUAGGAGAAUCGAAUGGUUAGUUAGGUGGUUAGUUAGGUUAAUCUAUUGAUUAUUUAAUUGAAUUUUGAAGACUGGUUGUCCAUUGUUUAGAUGUUGAACUAAUAGAAUGGAAAAGUCAGAUCAAAUUGUAUAGAGUCUGAUCUAAUUAUACAAUCUAAUUUAUGGAAUCAUAUAGGAAAUCUCAAUAUUAUUAAAUAUAGAAAACCAAUAAAAAGCAAUGCAUAAAUCAUAAAGUUCAGAAAUAAUUAAAGUAAAAAACAUUAUUAAACAUAGGGGGGAGGGGUGGUUGAUGGCGAAGUGGACACAUUCUCUUGAGACUAUUCCUUCUUUUCCUUCUCUUGUUUGAUCAUUUUGGUGCACAGCUUCUUGGAAGAAGAUGAUAUGUCUGUUAGAUCAGAAUGAUCUACUUUGCGCUUUGUGAUGGGAGUGGGACAAUCUUCUGAUGACUUCUGAUCCAACAUCAGAACCUAAAAUUAGAUCAAAUUAAUCAGUAAGAUUGUAUUAUAAAAAUCCAAGUUAAAACAGACACAAAGUAAGACCAAAUAUAAAAUUUCAAGUUAAAACAGACAAAAAAGAAGACCAAAUGUAAGGCUCACGUUUUUUAAUACUAAUAAACUUACAGAUCCAGAUGACAUGGUGGAAGAUGUUGUGGCCAUGCCAGAAAAUGAGUAAGAGCCAUUUUCAAUACUUAGAACUUUAUCUCCAGAACAAACCUCUAAAACCACAAACGUGUCCGCUCCAUUUGUAACAUUAUCAGAGCUUAUAUAAAGCCCAAAACAGAAAGACUUUCCAACCAAACUAAGAAUAUGUUCUGGUAGUAUCUCUGGAUCUUCAAUCUACAAAAAAAUAGCAAUAUAUUUAUUUGUUAAUAUGGGUAAUGUUAGUGGUUUACGCACAAUUUAAACAAAAUAAUACCUCUUCAUAAGAGCCAUCCCAUAGCUCUUCAGCUUUAACUCCAACGAUUGACUGACAAACAGAUCCUAGCAACAUUAGGUUACAUGUCCCUGUGUCAUCUUUCACAACCAAAUGUAGUUUGAAUCUACUCAAACAAAAAAAAAAAUUGUAUUGUUAGGGCAUGUAUGGGAAUAAAUAAGGUAAUACGGGUAUAAGCUUUGAAAUUAAUUACUUGGGUGACACGUUAGUGAUAUUGGAACGGCAGACUUCACAGCGAAACAAUGGUUUAUCUUUCUUUGUCAUCCUCCCAUAAUCAACGUUGGGGAGCUUAAUGACACGUUUCUGGUGCCGGUUACAACCAAAAUAGAACCAUGCCCAAUCUGUAUCUAUUGCCUCAAUAGAACAUAUUAUUUUGCAAAUCUCCACCUAUAUUGGUUAAAAAAGAAAACGUUAUGUGAUUUUAUGUUGAUAACAUUAAACCAUUUGAAAAAAAUUCAGAGCAGACAACAUAUGUACCUGAUUGGCCUCAUUGACUUCUGCAAUCGAUUUGAUCUCAGCAUCAUUCCAGUCAUAUUUAAUUCUUUUACCAUCCUUCUUUCCAUCUUGUUUGUCCACCAGCGCAACAGAUAGAUGAUCAUCUGACAGCCUACAAAGAAUUAAGAUCACACCAACAUCAGUGUGUGGAUAUGGUUCUAUAAUACACACAUGAAAACAACACUAAAAGAAAUCGAUGUUUAACCUUUCUGUUAAAUCUGUAAGUUCAGGGAUCAUCGGAUUCAAGUAGAGGCGUGUUGCAUGAAAAGCGUUUGUGAUUUGUACCUCACCUAGUUAACAUAGAUUAAAUUAGGCGCAAAAAUAUAGAGAAAAAAGUAUUUUUACACGUUUAAAAAUACAAUUUAAAUACCUCUAAAGUCUUUGAUUUUUGCAAACCUGAUCAAACAAACAAUUGAUUGAUCUUUGUCCUCAGUAAAAGGUUCAAGUUGCUCAGCAUAAUUUUCCCAAAGACAACAUGCAAUGUUGUUUCCUCUGUAGAUUAAAAUGGAAAGAUGAUUAGUAUACUAAUGAAGUAGAUUUAUUGCUAUAAUAAUAUAAUGAACAAAAUGUGUUUUAGAAAACAAACUCUGUGUCAACCAAGCGAAAUUGAACCCUUUUUUGUCUUCUCCUCCAACUUGCACGGUCUGAACAUCACCAAGCUCAUGAACUCUGCCAAUUACAUCUGAGAGAAAAAGAGACACAAAGUUAAUACAAUUGUGAUAUCGUAUAUAAAACACACACGAAUAUAAAACACCAAGUUCAUGAACGUGCAUAUGUAUAUGAAUAGAUUCGAAUUAUAGAUUACCUAUGAGGAAAUUUGGUUUUAGAGUUCCAUUUUGAAUUUCUUCAUACUUGGCAAGAGAUAGGAAAUUGCUUUCAUCAGCUAAAUCAGAACUCGAAACCACAGCAUCGUCUGCUAUAGUCAUCUUGUACUUAUGUUUUUUUGUUCGGUAUUGACCACCAGCUGGAGAUACAGAUAAGUUUUGAACAACUCCCCAUUUAUCAAUAGGUAAAGCACGUUGAAGUCGGUACAUGAGACUUGGUUUGCAAGAAGCCUGAAUCUUGUUUCCCUAUAAUAAAACAGAUACGAGUAGAUUAGAUUCAAACUAUAAUAAAUAAUUUAUAAAGACACGAAAGUUUAAAAUAUAAAGUUACCCAUUGAUCUGCUAAAAUCAUCUCAAAGCUAUCACCUCCGAAAGGUGUGUGUUGCUUAAAUGAAUGCAAACAUUUGACCUGAACUCUCCAAUUGUUUUUGAAAGGUCUCAAUUUUGUGAAAGGAACAAAAGCCAUAACGAUUGACAUGUUUACUAUUUGGUUUUCUUUGAUACGUUUUUGACGUUAAAAGGAGUGGAUAUAUAUAGUUGUGAUUUGAAAGAUUUGGUUAAAUUGGCAAAAGUAUAAAAAGAUUUACUUUGUUGUGAGCUUCACGCAAAAUCUGUUGAUUAUAUUACCUUAUUUAUGAAAUCAUAUUUAAAAGAGAAUAUCCUUUCUAACGAUAAGGAAUAGAUUGUUUUGUAAGAUUUUAAAUCAGAAAAUAUAGAUUGUAUUUGUUAAUUGAAACCGUGCAUUAAUCAAAAGUCAGCGUAGGAAUAGGAAAAAAUAAUAAUGUUGUUUUGUUUUGGAAAAGAGAUAUUUUGUUAUGAUAUUGGGCAUGUAGAAAUCGUUAUUUAGAAAAAUUUGUUUUGAUUAUGGAAGGAUUAAAACUUCCGAUUUGUUAUUGAAUUGGGAUAAAAUAUUCUCAGAACAAUCGUUUAAAAUUGUAGGGGAGAUAUAACUUAAUUGGGUUGGUAAUAAGAGUAACAAAAUCGUAUUGGACAUUGGAUUGGGCCAUGAAUCGUUAAUUGCUUAAAAGAUCUGAUAAAAGGAGAAGUACAAAAAAUUCAGUGGCAUAGGUAUGUAAUAUUUGUGGAAAACUAAGGGGUAUUAUCUUUUUGUACUUCAGUUUUAAUAUAUUAGAUAAUACCUCUUCAUAAGAGCCAUCCCAUAGCUCUUCAGCUUUAACUCCAACGAUUGACUGACAAACAGAUCCUAGCAACAUUAGGUUACAUGUCCCUGUGUCAUCUUUCACAACCAAAUGUAGUUUGAAUCUACUCAAACAAAAAAAAAUUUGUAUUGUUAGGACAUGUAUGGGAAUAAAUAAGGUAAUACGGGUAUAAGCUUUGAAAUUAAUUACUUGGGUGACACGUUAGUGAUAUUGGAACGGCAGACUUCACAGCGAAACAAUGGUUUAUCUUUCUUUGUCAUCCUCCCAUAAUCAACGUUGGGGAGCUUAAUGACACGUUUCUGGUGCCGGUUACAACCAAAAUAGAACCAUGCCCAAUCUGUAUCUAUUGCCUCAAUAGAACAUAUUAUUUUGCAAAUCUCCACCUAUAUUGGUUAAAAAAGAAAACGUUAUGUGAUUUUAUGUUGAUAACAUUAAACCAUUUGAAAAAAAUUCAGAGCAGACAACAUAUGUACCUGAUUGGCCUCAUUGACUUCUGCAAUCGAUUUGAUCUCAGCAUCAUUCCAGUCAUAUUUAAUUCUUUUACCAUCCUUCUUUCCAUCUUGUUUGUCCACCAGCGCAACAGAUAGAUGAUCAUCUGACAGCCUACAAAGAAUUAAGAUCACACCAACAUCAGUGUGUGGAUAUGGUUCUAUAAUACACACAUGAAAACAACACUAAAAGAAAUCGAUGUUUAACCUUUCUGUUAAAUCUGUAAGUUCAGGGAUCAUCGGAUUCAAGUAGAGGCGUGUUGCAUGAAAAGCGUUUGUGAUUUGUACCUCACCUAGUUAACAUAGAUUAAAUUAGGCGCAAAAAUAUAGAGAAAAAAGUAUUUUUACACGUUUAAAAAUACAAUUUAAAUACCUCUAAAGUCUUUGAUUUUUGCAAACCUGAUCAAACAAACAAUUGAUUGAUCUUUGUCCUCAGUAAAAGGUUCAAGUUGCUCAGCAUAAUUUUCCCAAAGACAACAUGCAAUGUUGUUUCCUCUGUAGAUUAAAAUGGAAAGAUGAUUAGUAUACUAAUGAAGUAGAUUUAUUGCUAUAAUAAUAUAAUGAACAAAAUGUGUUUUAGAAAACAAACUCUGUGUCAACCAAGCGAAAUUGAACCCUUUUUUGUCUUCUCCUCCAACUUGCACGGUCUGAACAUCACCAAGCUCAUGAACUCUGCCAAUUACAUCUGAGAGAAAAAGAGACACAAAGUUAAUACAAUUGUGAUAUCGUAUAUAAAACACACACGAAUAUAAAACACCAAGUUCAUGAACGUGCAUAUGUAUAUGAAUAGAUUCGAAUUAUAGAUUACCUAUGAGGAAAUUUGGUUUUAGAGUUCCAUUUUGAAUUUCUUCAUACUUGGCAAGAGAUAGGAAAUUGCUUUCAUCAGCUAAAUCAGAACUCGAAACCACAGCAUCGUCUGCUAUAGUCAUCUUGUACUUAUGUUUUUUUGUUCGGUAUUGACCAUCAGCUGGAGAUACAGAUAAGUUUUGAACAACUCCCCAUUUAUCAAUAGGUAAAGCACGUUGAAGUCGGUACAUGAGACUUGGUUUGCAAGAAGCCUGAAUCUUGUUUCCCUAUAAUAAAACAGAUACGAGUAGAUUAGAUUCAAACUAUAAUAAAUAAUUUAUAAAGACACGAAAGUUUAAAAUAUAAAGUUACCCAUUGAUCUGCUAAAAUCAUCUCAAAGCUAUCACCUCCGAAAGGUGUGUGUUGCUUAAAUGAAUGCAAACAUUUGACCUGAACUCUCCAAUUGUUUUUGAAAGGUCUCAAUUUUGUGAAAGGAACAAAAGCCAUAACGAUUGACAUGUUUACUAUUUGGUUUUCUUUGAUACGUUUUUGACGUUAAAAGGAGUGGAUAUAUAUAGUUGUGAUUUGAAAGAUUUGGUUAAAUUGGCAAAAGUAUAAAAAGAUUUACUUUGUUGUGAGCUUCACGCAAAAUCUGUUGAUUAUAUUACCUUAUUUAUGAAAUCAUAUUUAAAAGAGAAUAUCCUUUCUAACGAUAAGGAAUAGAUUGUUUUGUAAGAUUUUAAAUCAGAAAAUAUAGAUUGUAUUUGUUAAUUGAAACCGUGCAUUAAUCAAAAGUCAGCGUAGGAAUAGGAAAAAAUAAUAAUGUUGUUUUGUUUUGGAAAAGAGAUAUUUUGUUAUGAUAUUGGGCGUAUUGGGCUGCUCAAACAUUGGGCUUCAUGAUUUAAGUUGGUCCAAGUACGGUCUCAUAUACAGUUUCAUCCUAUGCGUCGAGACAACGUCGCCGUCUUAUCGAUCGGACUUACGCUGCAAAACGGCUGCAUAACCCUUUCGUUCAAUUAGCGUAAUUAGCGCUUCCAUUUACUCCAUUAAACCAGAACCUCCACUAACUUGCAUUCAGUAACACCCUCGCCCUCCUCAAAGGUUACGGAUCUAUAUAAAUAAGAAUAUUUUAAAGCUCCUUGGCAAAGUAACGUUUCUGAAGUCUCAAGCUUUUCACCACCUCUGUAUUUCUCGGCAAAACCGGAACCGUCAUCUCUCGCCUCCCGCCGAAAGCUUAUGCGGCGCUGCGAAGUGUGUUUAAGGCGAAGAUGUCGCUGCAUAAGAAUACUUCGGCCGUCUCGAUCUUGGACAUGUGUUUUUAUCUCACCGGGUUUAAGACGGUGACGAUCCCGACGGUGUCGUUCUUCUUCAGUGGUGGCGUCAUUCUGGAGCUCUCGAUCCCGACGGUGUCGUUCCAAAUUAUAAUCACUUAGGUCUUUAUCAAAGUCAAAACUCAAAGUAGAUGUACCGUAUAAUCACUCAGAUAACGAAGAGAUGAUGCACCCUGCAUUCACCAUGAAAUCUGUUGGAGUUUUGGUUCUGCUUACUGUUCUAUCAUCAGGUAUAUGCGAUCUGAUUUAAUCUCAUUGGUCUUCUCUGUUUCCGAAAACCCAUACCUUUGCAAUCGAUAUGAUCUCCCUUGCUUUAUGUCGUUGUUUCUCAUCUUCAACUUAUCCAAAGAAGUCAGCUGAUGUGACAAAGUUGCAGAUUGGUAUCAAGGUAUGCUGAAAAGCUCUUUCACGUGGUUAAGUUUUGGAAAGAAUU